GACGAACGCUGGCGGCGUGGAUUAGGCAUGCAAGUCGAACGGUAUCAUCCUUUCGGGGGUGAGAGAGUGGCGAACUGGUGAGUAACACGUAGGUUAUCUACCCUCAAGACGGGGACAACCCAGGGAAACUUGGGCUAAUACCGGAUGUGAGCAACUUUUAGUUGUUUGAAAGGUGGCGUAAGCUGUCGCUUGGGGAUGAGCCUGCGUCCUAUUAGUUAGUUGGUGAGGUAACGGCUCACCUAGGCAAUGAUAGGUAGGCGGCCUUAACGGGUGGUCGCCCACACUGGGAUUGAGAUACGGCCCAGACUCCUACGGGAGGCAGCAGUCGAGAAUAGUCUACAAUGGUCGGAAGACUGAUAGUGCGACGCCGCGUGAACGAUGAAUCCCUUCGGGGUGUAAAGUUCUUUUAUAUGUGAGCAGUGCUUCUUAUAUUUAACAGUAUGGGGAGAGAGAUAUUAGCAUAUAGAAUAAGACAACGGCUAACUCCGUGCCCAGCAGCCGCGGU
rnacentral:rRNA from 1 species